GUCUCAUUGGCAGAACAUGUGUUGUCACCAACUAGACCACAUUGACAGAAUGCCUCUCUCAUCGUAGAUCCUGCAUGGCUUCAAGGACCAGGUCGGCCAAGAGAACUGGCAGCAAUUCUCUGAACAGUUCCCUCCUUUAUUGAAGGAGCGCUUGUCGGCAUGCUAUGUCGUUCAGCGUUAAUCCACAACAGACCUGUUCGGUAUAUUCUGAAAUCCUCUCACUUUUGCUCACAAGUUUUGUCUUUCUGGAGAUGAUGACAAACCCAGCUCAUUGAUAACGCAAUGAAAAAUCUUUGUUCCAACCUUUAAUCUGAUCCAGAACAUUACAUGACGUUAGCAACCAAUUUCGUGUUCAGCUCUUCUGCUAAUUCUUAUCCUUUUUGUCUGCCAUGCAGGUAACCAUAGGGGAGGGUCACUGGGGAACUCUGCCCACUGUGGCAUCCUGGGUUAGCCCGAAAGAAUACCUGAGACAUGUUUUUAUAAGAUCCUGCAUGGCUUCAAGGACCAGGUCGGCCAAGAGAACUGGCAGCAAUUCUCUGAACAGUUCCCUCCUUUGUUGAAGGAGCGCUUGUCUGCAUGCUAUGGCGUUCAGCAUUAAUCCACAACAGACCUGUUCGGUAACCAUAGGGGAGGGUCACUGGGGAACUCUGCCCACUGUGGCAUCCUGGGUCAGCCCAAAAGAAUACCUGAGACAUGUUUUUAUAAGAUCCUGCAUGGCUUCAAGGACCAGGUCGGCCAAGAGAACUGGCAGCAAUUCUCUGAACAGUUUCCUCCUUUGUUGAAGGAGCGCUUGUCGGCAUGCUAUGGCGUUUAGCGCAAGUCCACAACAGACCUGUUCGGUAACCAUAGGGGAGGGUCACUGGGGAACUCAUUCACUGCCCAGCGUUGCAGGACAAACCAUGCAGAGGCAACUUGACGGGCCUCCACUUGGCAAAGGGUCUUCUCCCCCCUUUCCCUGUGACUGUUUGGUUAUUCUUAGACCUUUCUCCUCUCGUCCGAGUAGUCCUCUUCAGGAGCGCUAGUGAGACUGGUCGCAGCUGUGGUCCCUAUUGACUCGAAUGUGCCUACUAUUUCCUUUCACUUCUGGACAUUUUUGCAGCUUUAUUAGAUAGAUAAAUGUCAGAUCAUAUUAUAUUGCCUCUACUCCACACCACAAUUACUGUGAUUAUGUGUUAAAAUUUUGAAAUUGCCGAUCGAAUCCAUACAGUUGCUGUCUGGCAGAGACCAGUGGUCCUUACCAGUAGGGGGGCGCUAUUAAAAUUGGUCCUGAUGCUGGUCUGGUCUAAGCUGACUCUCGUCAGAUCCUUGUAGUUUGCUGAGCUCCACACAUUGAUCUGGGGGUUCUCAAUAGGAGAUGUAUUUCAGAAGGCGGGGCCAUGUAAAAAAAAUAAUUGUAUGUGAUUGGAUAAACUACUUGUACGUUAUCGUGAAUGACGUGCUACUUCAACUACUCCCAUCAAAAUCAACCCGUGACGCUGAUGAGAGCGACGUUGGGAAAUCCAAACCAGGUCGGAAGAAGAGCCAAAACAUCCUUGCCACCAAUAAAUGCCUUCAAAACAGUUCUCUGUUCAUCUUUUAAAGAAUUAAUAUUCGAUAGAUUCGACAAAACAUUUGCAAUAGCUGAAUCAAUGUUAACACACGACGCAGCCAGCGCUGCGUGCCGCCAUUGUUGGAAUCAAACAGUCGCUUCGGCGCUAUGCUACAUCUAUGAAAUCCCGCCCGGCGAUCUUGAUUGGUUCAUUAUUUUUUGCUAUAUGGAAGGAGUUUGCAAUGCCUUCGAGCCCCAGACCCUUGUGUGGAGCUCAGCGAACUACAAGGGUCUGGAGAGUCAGGUUAGGUGUGGUCUGUGUGGUCCAUGAAAUCUGCCUGUUGUCUUGAACAGUUACCAAGUGGUCCUUGGAGUAGUUGUUAUAGUAUAGUUGUAAUGCAGCCUCCCUCUUUUUUCAUCAUGUUGGCAACACGUGAAAGAAAUUUCUUCUGCCAUGCAUCACUCAUUUUUAAUUUCUUUCCCUCCAAAAAUAUUUGAUUUAUUUCCAACUUAUUUGUUAUAGACUGCCUCUUAUCAGUCAAUUUGUGUCUGAUGAUUUUUACAUCACCAUAGUGACAGUAUCCACAGUCAAGUAGGUUGUGUGAAAUGUACUGAGAUGCCCCAACUGGACUUGAUGUAAAUGUUCAGUUAUUUCUCUCGCUUUAAUAUCAAGCUUAGCUGCCUGAAGUGAGUGAAGUAUAAGACAACCAAUCAUGGAACUUCAUCUGAGCAAUAACCUAAGUAUACCAACCUAAAUAAUUUGAUAUAUUUAGUGGUAUUUACAAGGAAAAAUCAGCUUUUCCUUUUUAUGAACCUGUACUCGACUGUGCGCAGUUAGUGCUGUCCCUCUGUCACCAAUAGUUAGGAUAUAAAAUGGGCCAUCCCUUCAACCACCAUAUGCUUUGGAAGGCAAGGCUAAAAAUAACAGCCACAUUGUUUUUUUAAUAUAAUGCAGCAGUUUAUUUAAAAAAACAUAAGGGACGAGCGUUAGAAAAUGGAUGGAUGGAUGUUUACCUACCUUGGAAUGUCCAUAUCUGUAGAAAUGGAGGUGUACUUUUGCAAGCGAAUUGUACACUCUGAUUUCUUGCCUUGACACAUACUUGUCAACACAAGUGCCAGUAUGAGUAUCGUGCAGACUACUACAUGGAAAGAAAAAUUACUAAAUCCUUUUUAUGGUCAUUUAUGGUGGCUCAGUGGGCUAAGGGCAUAGCAUACUUAUGUCCGGCUUUAACCCGCAUGUGGCCCUUUGUCAAGUCUUUACACUUGUCUCUUUAAAGAACAAAGAGAUAGCAAUGUCUCCGAACAGUGUUAAGUACAGUAUUUUCCGGACUAUAAGGCGCACUUAAAAUGUUUUUUCCUCAAAACUUGACAGUGCGCCUAUUGUACGGAAUAAUUCUGGUUUUCCUUGCCGACCUCGAAGCUAUUUUAUUUGGUGCAUGGUGUAAUGAUAAGUGUGACCAGCAGUCAAACAGAUGUAAUGGCAAUAUGACAAACACCAUUUUAUGUUCCAUUGAAAAUAUAGAACAUUACACACUGCGCUCAAAAAUCUAUCAAAAUGUUUUAAUACGAUUUUGGUAAGCUAUGAAGCACCACUUGAUGUGCUUCAACAUACGAGCAUUAUUAUGGUGUGUGUAUAAGGUAGGACAUAUUAUCUGGUGUUAUGUUUUGCAAUAUUACGCAAAAGCAACUUUUCUUACCUUCUGGUACCUGCUGAUCUGCAUUUGGGAUCUGCAUAAAUCCUGAAAAAUUGCGACUGUCAGAAAGCGGCUUGAAGAUGAUCUGUAAAACAUCAUCUAUGCAACAUUUUGACCAAAGAACCACCAUUACAUGUUAUGUAGACCACAAGAAGUUUUUUCAAUUUAGGAAAAAAUAUGACUCCUUUAAUGCGUCCUAAAAUCCGGUGCGCCUCAUAUGAAAAAAGAUCAAAAAUAGACUGGUGCGCCCUAUUAUCCGGAAAAUACGUAUUUCAUUCUGUGGGUGAGUACCGAUGAGUACUCACCCACAGAAUAAAAUGAUUGCCAGUCUCUGCCGUUUGAUGGCCAACAACUCGUGGAAAUGGGACCUUUGAGUCUUGCUUCAUGGCCUUGAAUAAACAUAAAAAAUACAGCUGUAAGAACAAGGAAUUUGUUUUUUUCUGUAACAAAACUAUUAGUAGUUGUAGCAAUGUGUUUUUCUAAAAUAAUAUGCAGAUAAAACACCUGCAUACUGUACCUGGAUGCAAUGCAAAUGGCGGGGGCUGAUUGGUUCCCCACAUAACCAGUUCUUCCACCAAGCCGUGAAACUGAAUGUUUGCAAACUAAACACCUGUAAAAAGAACAAUUACUUUUGGGUUGUUGCAAACUGUUCCUGCGUCCACUCCCCACACCAAGAACAAAUUACAAUAAAUCUCAUAAUUACAUUCUCCAGAGGGCUGACCAGUCGUAGAAUUCUCUGAUUCUUUGCCUGUAAAGGAACAAGUCAAGCUUUCACUGUUUAAAACUUUGGUGUAAUGAUACAUCCCAGACAUCCAUGUCUACUUACAUCAUCUGUAAGCCAUAGAUAUGAAGCAUGCAAGUCAUUUUCAACAAGACUUUGUGGGCAAAGGCUCAGAAGGUCAGCCAGAUAUACUAAUGUCUGGUCCACCUGAACAAUGGCAUAGUCCAUGGCUGGUGCCUUUAUCCGGAAAGUGUGGCAAAGAUCAAAACAGAUGACAUUUGAUGCAUUAUUCCAAAGUAACAUGGUACAAUAGACUGUUCCAAUAGCAUUAGGUUGUUGAGGGUUGACAUCCCAUCCAAGCAUGAAUCACCUUCACACUAUUAAAUAAAGUUGGAGAAAACAGACAGCGAUUGGCAGUGAUAAAUUAUCUUGUUCAAUAAGAUAAGAAUCAUUUAUGGAUUUUUCAUAUGUAGAUUUGCAUUUAUCACAGACCCGUUGCAGGUUCAUGCUUAGCUGAUGUAUAUGAUAGGUAUGGCUUGUCCGACAUCACUUUAUGAAUUAACAGCCGAAUCAUACAUGCCAUCCAUCCAUUUUCUACCGCUUGUCCCUUUCGGGGUCGCGGGGGGUGCUGGAGCCUAUCUCAGCUGCAUUCGGGGGGAAGGCGGGGUACACCCUGGACAAGUCGCCAUCUCGUCACAGAUAAAUUGGAUGUUAAUAUCUAAAUUUAUGAGGAAAACGUUGCACAUUUUGAUGAUGAAGUAGGUUUGUAUUUUGAUUGUACAAUAAAAAGCUGUGAAAAUGAUGAUGCUGUGUUCCAAAUUUAAAUGAUUUACUGAACUUAUGUGAGCCUAUGCAUGGCUUUGCACCUUGUUAUAUAUAUAUAUUGCCAUCUAUUUUAGUUACUUUAUUGAGUUUAAAACCCCCUGGUGCUGAUUUAUACUGUUUUUGUACUUAUUUUGAUUAUUAUUUCUCGAUUGUUUGUAAAUGUUGCAGUUUAUAAAUAAAGAUUUAUAAAAUUUUAAUUUAAAAAAGUAUAUAUUUUUUUAAAGAAUUUUACCUUUGCAACCUCA